rnacentral:rRNA from 1 species
CCUUUUUAAUCCGGAGGUUUUUAUAAUGGCGCCCCAUUAGGGCGAAUUGAAUUUAGCGGCCGCGAAUUCGCCCUUACGGGUGAGUAACGCGUGAGAAUCUACCCUUAGGAGGGGAAUAACAGCUGGAAACGGCUGCUAAGACCCCAUAUGCCGAGAGGUGAAAAAGAUUUCUGCCUAAGGAAGAGCUCGCGGCUGAUUAGCUAGUUGGUAGGAUAAAAGACUACCAAGGCAACGAUCAGUAGCUGGUUUGAGAGGACGAUCAGCCACACUGGGACUGAGACACGGCCCAGACUCCUACGGGAGGCAGCAGUGGGGAAUCUUCUGCAAUGGGCGAAAGCCUGACGGAGCAAUACCGCGUGAGGGAUAAAAGCCUGAGGGUCGUAAACCUCUUUUUUCAGGGAAGAAAUUUGACGGUACCUGAAGAAUAAGCAUCGGCUAACUCCGUGCCAGCAGCCGCGGUAAUACGGAGGAUGCAAGCGUUAUCCGGAAUCACUGGGCGUAAAGCGUCUGUAGGUGGCUUUUCAAGUCUGCUGUUAAAGACUGAGGCUUAACCUCAGAAAAGCAGUGGAAACUGACAAGCUAGAGCAUGGUAGGGGUAAAGGGAAUUCCCAGUGUAGCGGUGAAAUGCGUAGAUAUUGGGAAGAACACCUGUGGCGAAAGCGCUUUACUGGACCAUUGCUGACACUGAGAGACGAAAGCUAGGGUAGCAAAUGGGAUUAGAUACCCCAGUAGUCAAGGGCGAAUUUGUUAAACCUCCAGGACUAGUCCCAUAGGUGUG